CCCUACGGGAGGCAGCAGUAGGGAAUCUUCCACAAUGGGCGAAAGCCUGAUGGAGCAACGCCGCGUGGGUGAAGAAGGUCUUCGGAUCGUAAAACCCUGUUGUUAGAGAAGAAAGUGCGUGAGAGUAACUGUUCACGUUUCGACGGUAUCUAACCAGAAAGCCACGGCUAACUACGUGCCAGCAGCCGCGGUAAUACGUAGGGGGCAAGCGUUAUCCGGAUUUACUGGGUGUAAAGGGAACGCAGGCGGUCUUUUAAGUCUGAUGUGAAAGCCUUCGGCUUAACCGGAGGAGUGCAUUGGAAACU
rnacentral:rRNA from 1 species